CAAAGUUAUGGAUCAUAUUACUGAAAUUAUGGAUCAUCAUCGCGAUAAAAAAUACGCAAAUUUGCAGUUUUAUGGAUCAAACUAUAGUUUCUUAUGGAUCAUUUGUCAUACGUUCAUGGGAAAAUAGCAAGAAUUGUAUUGUUUUUCUUGACCAUGUUAAUGGAACAUAUUUUCCUAUUACACGGGAUUCUGUUUUAACACGAUUUACAUUUUCUCAAUUUUGCACUCAUCCUGAAUGUUUAACGCAUAUUAGUUAUCAUGUGAUUUUUCUUUGAUUUAUUCUGGAUUUUUUGAAACAUGUUGCAAAGAUUUUGGUAGUAAAUUGAAGUCAUACGAUCAAAAACACGAGUGAAAAAAAAUCGCGUAAAAACAAAAUCCUGUGUAAUUGCUAAAUUUAAGCUUAGUUAUGGAUCAGAAUAUUGUUCUUUAUGGAAUCUCCUGAACUAUUUUAUGGAUUUAUGAUAGCAUUUGAUUGAACGUUUUAUGGAACAUUCAGAUCUUUUGAUAUUUUUUCAAGAAAAUUCCUCGUUAAUUUCUUCAAAGUUUGUUCUGUAAAUUAAAAAAAAAUCUGGAGAUUUCUCCAGGAUUUUUUUGUGGCAUCCUUGCAUAAUUAUUUUUUUCUAUAUGUACUGCCGUGCAUUUAUCUGAAAUUGUCUCCAUGAUUUUCUCUGGAAUUUUCUUUGGAAAAAUUCGUACAGAACUUUACUGGCUGGAACUUCAAAUAUUUUUUAAGUGAUGAACUUUUUAUUUUCAAAAAAAUCACUAUAAUAAAGUUGAAAGAAAAAAUCAAAUAUUGUAGGUUUCAAUUUUCUGCAUAUUAUACAAUACAAUUUUUGAGGAACAUGUUGUGCCAAAGUUUCACUGAAAAUCUUUUGAAUGAUCCACAAAUAAUGCUAUUCCUACAUUGGGGAUAGAGAUGGGAAAGAACAUUGUAAUCAAUUUACUGAAAAUUUGAAUCCAGAAUCUUAAACGUUCCUUAUUAAAACAAAAACUCCCCAUGGAUUCUCUUAACCUUAUUUCGCCAUCUAUUCCUAUUUUUUAGAUAAUCAAAUCGUGAUCGCGUUUACUGUUUCUAUGCUACUAGCUAAUUAAUUGUGGGUUCUUAAUAAUCCUUGAUUCAAAUGAGCUUAUUUGUGGAAUUGCUAUGCGAUUUUUUAAUAAAGCUAUAAAAGUGAUACAAAUUGUUUAAUUGUAUAAACGAAAUAUGAGAAUACGCUUUCUUUUAUUUGGAUAUCAUCCACAGUUAUGACUAAACUAUGUCUAUUGGACAGAACAAACUGAUUAUACACCACACUUCACCACAGCUUACAUUUCUCUACGCGUAGUUAGUCCAUAUUAUGCACGAUCACACACAAUACAUUAGAUCUGAUUAUACAAUGCACGCACAUACUUCACUCUUUCGCCAAAUCUAUGCUAAAUAUGCACGCAUUAAGCUCCGGGUUGAAACACGCAUCUUAUCUAUGCCUUUGGGAUGAUUCGAUCUAUAGAAUGCAAUACAAUAUCUUGGCACGUAAUAGAUACUAUUUCGUUUGGCCCGGUUUGGUAGCUUUUUGGGAGUAGUUUGAAACGUUUGGAUGCACUAGAAGUAGUAAGCAAACCAACAGCGCCCAAGCCAAAGGUUUUGUUUUAAUUAACGUUGUUUUCUUUUCCCAAACCGUUUCUUCUCUUUCGUUCAUUCUAGCAUGAUGAAAGUUUCCCACCGAAACUCGCACAGCUUCCAUCCGUCGCCGUAGGUGGCGCUUUAGUUUCGAUAUCAGUUUUAAGUCUCGCUUCCGUUCGUACGUUUCCGUUUGAUAGUGGGGAAAUUUUGAACCAAAAACUAAGUGUAAGAGUCUGUGGCCAUUUUCGUUUGAGUUGAGCACCGGACGAAUCACGGGGACAUGCGUUGAACAUUAGUAGGAGAGAACGUGCUUUAAUGAUGAGUGUAGUUCGGAUAAAUUAGACACAACAGUGACACCAACAGACACAUACCACUAAAUGGCCAACAACCGUCAAAGACUGCAGCCCAGCCAAUUUUAUGUUAUUACAAUUAUUUGAAGAGAUCCGGUUCCGAUGAGCGACCUGCCGCCGAUGACUACAACCGAGGAAGUGGGGCGAGCUCCACCUGGACCAAUGUCAGUAUUAUCCUGUUCAGUGCUUUGGUAGGACUCGCACUGAAGUUCUAAUCAGCGUAUGAGUCGGAACGCGUGAGGUUUUGCUCAUCAACUCGUUACCGUAGUUUGCUUCAAAGAGUAAAUUCAGCGAUCGAAUGUUUGAGAAUUUGUGAGAGUUCGAGGAGGAAGAGUCAGCUAGCCACAAUUCAACCGACCAGUCCAUGUGAGAACGAGAAGAAACAGCAUCAACAGCAACACGAGGAGCGGAGUUUUGCGUCAGAAAAUUGAUCUCACAAUUUAUUCCGAGCGCAGCGCAAACAACUAGCCACUAUUUCGAGCCAGUGACCAGGCCAGUCCAUUCUCUACGUAAGCCAGACGGGAAUCCUUUUAUCAAGAAACCCUUCAAUUUUAACGGUUGAGCACAUCGUGAUAUGCGGAACUUAUUAUUUCUAUUUUUCUGAACAAGCGUGCGUUCACGCAGACGCACAAACAAAUGAAACGAUUUAUGUCAGUUUCAGUAAAAAAAAGUCUAUGUUAUAUUUAAUACUUUUUCUGUUCAUAUUCAGUCACGGUAGGAUUUCUAAUUGGUUUUAAAACCGUAAAACAAACGCAAAUAACUUCAGUCAAAGUCAUUACGAUAAGAGCCUUAAGAUUUUUAAUUAAGGAUAUACACAAACACAUCUUCGAACGAUACAAGUGAGGAAAACAGUAAACGGUGCCUUUUAUCGAAUUGUAAAUAAUCAUUUUAACUAAAGUAAUUCUAAACGGAAGGAAAACUUAUUAGCCGCAAUCUAAAAGAUUGAAGUGCAAUGAAAUCGGGGAUGUAACACUCUGUUGAUUGUUGAUUGUUAUUCAUAUUUUCCCUACGAUUUUGAGCCUAUCUUUUUUGUUUUAAUCCAGUGAUGAAUCAAUAAAAAUCUACCAUAUCUUCUUGCAUUUUUCCUAAAAAUCAAAGUCAACCUAACCUUUAUAUGUACAUCCAUGCAGAAUUAGGAGAAUUUAUUAUCAUGAUAUGAACAUUUUGUAAAUAUUUAUUGCGAAUAGAUAUAGGAUUAAAACGGAAGUAUAAAAAAAAUUGAAAACAUA